ACAAAAUGUAAGCCCCACUAUAUAAAUUCCAAUUCGUCAUAUGUGUCCAUCAUUGUCGUCACUCUUUUCAGAAUCAACAUGGCAGCUUUUAAAUUUUUGUUUUUCCUGGUCGCUGUUGCUUUCGUGACAGACAUUGCUGUGAGUCAGACAUGUACCUUGCCCUUUGGAAACGGUCAAACAGGUUUUUGCAGCAACCAAUGCCCUUCUGGGUACAUUGGAGCCUGGGACCUUCCCCACCAGUGUGGCGGGAUGUCAGGGAACCAAUGCUGCUUCAUGCAAACUUAAGGAUGGCUCGUAACUACUGUGCCGAAUGGGAUAUACAAUAGCCCAGGGUUAUCCAAACAAUAAAGACGUUACUGAUUGCUUCA